GAUGAACGCUAGCGGCAGGCCUAAUACAUGCAAGUCGAACGGUAAGGCCCUUUCGGGGGUACACGAGUGGCGGACGGGUGCGUAACGCGUAUGCAACAUGCCUUCCAGCGGGGGAUAUACCAGGGAAACUUGGCGCAAUACCCCAUAGAAUUACGGGACCGCAUGGUCUUGUGAUUAAAACUCCGGUGCUGGGAGAUUGGCAUGCGUGACAUUAGCUAGUUGGCGGGGCAACGGCCCGCCAAGGCGACGAUGUCUAGCUGGUCUGAGAGGAUGAUCAGCCACACUGGGACUGAGACACGGCCCAGACUCCUACGGGAGGCAGCAGUAGGGAAUAUUGGACAAUGGGGGAACCCGUGAUCACGCCAUGCCGCGU
rnacentral:rRNA from 1 species